UUAAUGUGUUUGAGAGUAUUGUAAAUAAGAAUCCACCAAAACAAAUGAUGAAUGUUUAAUUAUAAUUAAAUGAAGGUAGGUGGCAGGAGAUAGGGUUGUUUAGAUGAACAAAGAACAAUAAGGUUCAUUUGAAGAACUGAAAAGACAUUGCAGGUGAAAAAGGGGAUUUCUAUAAUUCUGGUUUUCGGGGUGGGCUGAAUCGGAUCCAGAUCAGGUGAGCUUUUUUUUUUUGUUGACCCAAAUUAGACCAGGAUAUUAUCUGGGUUGGGUUGGUUCUGAUCUGGUCAUAAAAUAGAAAAUCCAUACCUGAUUGAUUUACAAACUAAGCCCAAGUUUUGAACCCUGAUCCUAUCUACAAGUCUCCAAAAAUAGAUUGAUCGAGUGUAAUAGGGUCUGGACAGGGUUAGGUCAGUACAACCCAUCUGGAGCCUUAUUUUUAUCUAAUGCUCUCUGCUUAUUUUUAUCACUAGUCCCUGUUUACCUGACCUGUCCUGUUGGGUUUGCCGAUUGGGUAUGGGUUAGCUAAUCCUAACCUGUUUGAGCCAGGGCCGCUGAAACCAGUCAACUCAGUGGGUACAUAUUAUAUUAUUUGUUAAUAUAUGCAUGCAUGCAUGCAUGCAUGUUUAUAUGUAUUUAUGUAUGUAUGUUUGUGUGUGUGGAUAUAAUCUUUAAGUGGUGGAUUUAUGUGGUGAGUGCGAGCUAUUGGGUCAAUGAUCAUGCUAGCUUGUUUUAAAACUUGGAUUGGAAUGCAAUAUUUGUUUACAUAUUUGUGAUCUAUAUUGUUAUUUCAUCAACUCUGUUAUGUCCUGAUUUAGUCCCAAACUAUGAAAACAAUACCCUACUUGGACAAUAUGAAGCCCAAAAUUAGAUGAGAUUGGACUAAGGAGACAGGUCAGCAGGCUGGGUGCAGGUUGUGUUUGGAUAGAGAAUUCCUGACCCACUAGCAGAUCGGGUCAGCUUCGGCUCAGGACCUAUGGGCCUUGUAAAUGAUUUCAACCAUACCCGAACCUGAUCCGACCAGCAGAUUACCAUCCUUAUGAUUGUUAAUUGUAUUAAUGCAUAAUUUUGUAAUUUUUCAAAUCUAAAAAUUGAGACAAUGCUAUCGCUUUCUUGCAUAUCUUUUUAGUCUCUAGUAUGUUUAUUCAGUUUUUAUUCAUCUGAUAAGUUUCAUACUUCUGGCAAUCUUUGGCGUGUUAAUUUUGUUGUUCUGCACAUACAUCCUAGGCCCAUGUAUUUCAUGCUUAUUUAAUGUGUGGGAUUAAAACAUAUUCCAACUUAGUAAAUUGAUCUGUCCAACAUUUGGUAUUCAUUCUAUAUCAAAGAAUAAGUGGCAUUGUGGGCUCUAUCAGACAUCUUUGGGUCUUAUUUGGCAUUACACAGCCUUGUUGCCCUUGUUGAGGCACUCGUGUAUAUAUAGCAAGGGACAAACUAGGCUAUAAGAAUUUUGAUUUCCUAAGGCAAAGAAUUGUUGGUUGAUUUAAGAUUUGUUCAUAAAAUUUAACAAAUCCAUGACAUUUCCUUUCUACUGAAUGACAUGUUUGUUUUAUUGAUCCUUCACCUCAAUACACUUAAAACAUUAAUUUUUCAAUUUAUGCUUCCUUAUCGAAGACCCUCAGACAUGCAAUAAGGCACAUAUUACUCCACAGUCAUGGUUAUUUCAAUUUCCAAUUUAGACUCCAACAUUUCUCUAUAGAAAAACAUCUCUUUCCUAAGCUUGACUUCAAUUAUCAUAUGGAAGAUAAUUAUUUCUUUAUCUUGAUGGCUAAAUUUCAUAAUAAUGUUUCGCUCCAUCCAGAUGCUGUUACUUCAUUGCCCAAUCUCUGACUUGGACAAUCAAGUAUAUGGAAAUCAAUUGCGACCUCCUUCCUUUCUUUUGCAUAAGCAACUCUAUCUAUUGUUAACUGCUGCUAGUAUUUUCAUCUUGGACUCCCACCAAACAUUUAUUUUUUGAAUAACUAUUAGUUUGGUCAAGGGGAAGUUGGGAGGGGAAGAUUACAGGAUACGUCCUCUUUUAACAGAUAUAUUUUUUUCUUUUAAAUGUCCAAUGCUUGCCAAGGGAGUUGUUGCUGGACUGAACGAUGACCAUCACUUUUACAAAUUCGUCUCAAGUCACAAAUUCAGAUUAUUUUUAUGGAAAAGGAUUUGAGGCCAUGAUAAGUGACUUGGUGAAAUGCCUUACCUUGGCAUUAGUUGCUUUUAUUUGCAGGUCAUAUUCACUGGGACUUCGUUUAAAAUGUACGUAAAACUUCCAAAUUUAUGCUAGAACUUAGUGCAAAUAAGACAUGCAAAAUACAUGUCUCUUAUUAGUACUUUGUCACCUAACUACUCGUGCUUUGGCUACUUGUAGCAAACAUAUUAAAGAUACUUGCAACAUGCGAGUCAUGCCCAUUUUUGCUACUGCAUCAAGAUGACAUGAUUUAGAUAUAUAGCAACUUCAAAUUUUUGAUAUCUCGUCAGUAAAUUCGGGGGUAAAUGGCAAAAUGGCUAAAAUUAUUGAACUCAUAAAUGUUAAUUUAAUAUUUUUUUUCCAUUUAUCUGCAUGGAAUUUUGUUACAGUGUCGUUUAAGGGGGAAAAUUGAUUCCACUGGUUGUGUGGCUGCUUAUCUUGAGGAGCGACUUAAUAUGGGCGUCAAUUUUAUUCUUUCUGCAGAGGUGAGCAUGGCAUAGUUACUCGAUGCCUUCCUACAACUUCAGUUUUAUUAUCUCCAUUGUACUUGUCCAGUUUAAUAUAUAUUUUUUUUAAUUUUUUCACACAGUCAAGUGAAAAAGGUGAACUAAGUAUAUAUCUUUUUGUUCACCUUGAAAUACUUAUAAACAAAUUUUGGCAUCGAUCCCAAUCUUGGUAAUAUUAAAUCCUCUGGCAUUUGUUUGCUCUUAAUCUCUUAUCCAUCUGAUGGGCAUGUUGCAGAUUGAUCAUCGGAAGAAAGACUACAAAUUUGGGUUUGGUAUGACUGUAGGAGAGUAAAGCUUCUUGUAACAUCUCUUCACAAGAAUUAAUGAUUUUCUGGUCACUGGUUUUGUUGGCUGGGCCUUGUUUUCAUGGCCUGCCGGGGCCGCCAAUUCUAAACGGUUCUUCAAGUUCUUCCUGGCAAGUUUAUUAUGUUGAAGGUUUUAUGGAAAGAAAGAAACCAUCAUUUUUGCAAUUUUAUCAGUUGAUUUCAAACAUUUGGAUCCAGCAUUUGGUGGCCAUUUGACAUUCAUGGCAUUCUCAGGCCAUGAUUCCAUGUUCAUCGCUGAUGGAACAAGCUCUAUAACAGGGUUGAUCAAUGAUUAGUUAUUCUGGUCUUUCAUUUAGAUAAUUCUAAUUUUGCAGAAGUUUUGUCUGUUAAUCAGAAAGCUCUUUCUGGCACAGGCUUCUGUAGAUUAUUCACUUAUUAGCAGUUGUGUAGCUAUCUCUCUUAUUGAUUGAAUACAGAUGGUGUUUCUCAGUGCAGAUAUAAAAUAAUUCUUACCACUGAUAUGGCUCUGUCAUGACCAAUUCACAUGUAAUUUAAAUCCAUAAUUGAAUUUUUAAGAUGGAAUCUGGAUAAUUUGACGAUAUCGUCAUGGUGCAGAUAUUGCUGUCCUGGAUUGUCUAAAAUAUCAACGGCUGACAGGUAUCGUGGUCAUGAUCUAAAAUUCUAAUGACAUAUUCUAGAUCAAGUCAAUCGUGCCAAUCUCUAACUAUCAAAAUUUUAUUUUUUCUUGAUCACCAACUUGAGAUUAAAGCAAUCAAACUUGCAUUGCUUAGAACUGUAAUCAAGUUCUUUUCAAAUAUGCGUCACCAGAAGGAAGUUGAUAAAUUCGAUCAAGAACAGGUGAAGACCUACAUUUUUAAAAGAAGUCUGUCUGUCAGUCGAUUAAAAAAUUCUAUUUUUGAGCAGACAUUUUGAUAAAGAAUUCACUCCCUAGUUGUCUCAGUGUGUUCCUUGUCUACUCCAGUUGAUCUGAAGACAAAAAAUAAAAAAGCUUCACCCUUAUCACAAAUAAAAUAAAAUAAGAGGCAACCCUCUCCUGUCUGCAUCUUAGUGCCAAGAACACUGGACUCAUGUUUUGUUUUAAAUAUGGUACAGAAGUACAAAGUAACAAGUGUUGAAUUGGUUCUUAUUGAAACAAUUUAGGCCUUGUUUGGAGGAGCUUUUGGAGAGCCAAAAAGUACUUUCUGGCCCUCCAAAAAUGCUUUUCGGAAAGCUGUUUUAGUUUUCCAAAAAAAGCUAAAAACAACUUUUUGGAAGAAACUUUAUUUUAGAUCUUUUCGAAAAAUCUGUUUUGAGCUUUAUCGGAAAGUUUUUUUGGGCCAAAAUAUCUAUAAUAAAAUAUAACAAUUACAUACUUUGUCUCUUUAUAACCUAAAAAUUUGGUGGAGCCCUAAUAAAGAACACUAGCUGUGGAUCAAAUUUUCUUCCGUGCAAGAAAAGGUAUUUUUGUUUCCUAUUAUUAUUUUAUACUUUUAUUAUUGUAUUAUACUAUAAAUAUAAUAUAAUAUUAUUAUAUCAUAAUGCAUUUAUAUGUCGUAUUAAAUAAUUUAAUAUUAUGUUAUAUUAUGAAAAAUUAAUUUACACUAAUAAUUAUAAUAUUUUAUACCUUUAUUAUUAUAUUAUACUAUAAAUAUAAUAUUAUAUUACAAGGUUUUUUUAUGACUCACCCUAUUUCGUAUUCUUUCGAAAACAGAGGGGGAGGCGAAUGUAGAGAAGAACCAAAACAGAAUGGUUCUGCCUACUCAAAACUCAGAGGGGGUGCCACAAAGUUUGCAGACUUCAUUACGUCUGAGAGGUGCAGGUUAUCGCCGUUAUUGUGACAAUGCGCUCCAACUUCACAAUAGGCUUUGACGGACUCUCAAGAGGAGUACCCGCACAUUUCCUUCAAAAAUUAGAAAUUCUUUUGGGCUCCUAAGAGGCGCUUCCCUGUAGUUGUCAGCUCGUUCUUGACAAAUCCGAUUGGGUGUUCAUAAUCUGAAGUAAAAGGAUUCGAAAAUGAUCUUCGAAUACGUACCACCUAAUAUGGAAGCUAUCUUGAGAAUCCUAAUACCAUUAUCUACGACAAUGUUGGAUUAGAAUUUUAUCGUAUUUAAUCUAAGAUUCAAGGGUGGAAAUCAAUCAAAGCCAUCCUGCAAAAUGCACCUUCGCCACUGGAGCUAUUCUAAAAAGGGAGAAAUUAACACUACUUGGUGAAAUAGGUUCUUUUAAAAUCAAUUUCAAACCAUCUGCUAGAGAUUGUAACAAUCCGAACGAUCCCACUACAUCAGAACCCUUUCGACGUUGCACAAAAGCCAAUGUAUCAUAAUACAUUAAAUAUUAUGUUAAAUAAUUUAAUAUUAUGUUAUAUUAUGAAAAAUUAAUGUACGCUAAUAAUUAUAAUAAUUUUUUACCUUUUUUAUUAUAUUAUACUAUAAAUAAAAUAUUAUAUUACAUUAUAUCAUAAUACAUUGAUAUGUUAUAUUAAAUAAUUUAAUAUUAUAUUAAAUUAUUAUGCUAUAGUAUACGAUGUUAUAUUACUAUAUUAUAAUAAUAUUUUAUUACAUUACAGUAAUAUUAUACUAUAUCAUAUAUUUAUAUAUUAAUAUAUAUCAUAUUUUAUUUUGCUCUAUUGUAUAAUACUAUACAAUGUCCUUUAUGAUAAUUUUGUCAUAUAUAAGUACUUUCUCAGUUUGUUUACCAAACAGCAAACAAUUUUUUUAUAAAAGUUUUACUUCAGAAAGUUCUACUUCUAACAGCUCUACUUUCAAAAGCUUUACUGCCAAUAGCUUCCCCAAACAGGGCCUUAAUGUCUAUAAUCAACAAUCUAUUAUUGCCCUUUCCAAGGUUCACCUUUCAAAAUGCAAUUUAACUAUAAUCAACAUUCCCUGUUUAUGUAAUGGAGCCUAGGUAUGCAUCAACCCCACAAGCCACUUGGUUGCAAAGCUGAGAUAGUGUUAAGGGUUUGUUUGGUUGGGAUAUAUCAUGUUAUGGGGUAAUUUGACGAUUUUUAGAAAUUAUUUAUAUGAAAAAAUGAUUGUGGAGGAAAACAAAUUUUACCAUAUUUGGUUGGUAAAAAAAUUACUUUGAAAAAUAUUAUUAGAAAAAGAUUACUAUAUUUGGUUGGAGGUAAUAUUAUACGAUAAUAUUGCCAAAUUUCCAACAAUGCUUUUGAACGAACGAUUUAGAUAAUAACAUUCUUUUCUCAAUCUAUUUGUUGGCUAUUUAUGGUCCAUGUACAUAAACAUUAAACACUAUUAAUAUUAGCUAUUUUGAAUAUUGAAAUAUAUUUACAUAAGUUAAUAAAUAUUUUUAAAUUAAUUAUACGUAUAUUAGAAAAUAUUUUUAUUAUUAUAAAUAAAUUUUAGUAUGUUUUGGUUUAUAAAUAAAUAUAGUAAUUAUUAAUUAAUCCUAUAUUAUAUUUAUUGAUAAUUAAUACAUUUUUCUUAAUUGUUUAUUAAUAAUUAAUAUUUAUUAAUAAAUAUAUAGAUAUAUUAAAUAUAUUAUUAUUUAUAAAUAUUAUCAAUCAAUAUAUUAGUAUAUUAAUAUUCAUUAUAUAAUAUAGUUGAUAUAAUAUUAAUAUAAUAUAAGUGAACUAUGUUCGUCAAAAAAUGAUAUUUUCAAAUUACCUCACUCAAUAAUCCAGCGUAGAAAAAUAAAUACCAUCCCUUUGAUGGUACUCGUUUUAUCUUCUCUUAGAAAUAUAGAGGUAGGAUCUACUAUUUAUUUUACCAUUUCUUUCAUCCACUUUUCGUACGAAAUAUGAUAAUCUAAUAUAAGGUUUUAUUUUUUCAUACUAAAUUACUUCCAAUCAAAUGGGCUCUAAGCUGCAAUGUUUUAACCCACCAUAGCUCUUUGCUCAAUAAUUCAGCUUCUAUACAAAAGCGCAAACCUGUGAUCCUACAUGAAGAGCAGAUUAUAUAGUAAGACUAGGCUACAAAGUAUGCAACAUAGACACAAUGUUCUGCAAGAAAAAAAAAUCAUGAAUUAUUGCUGAAACAAGGCUCAGAUGAAUAAUUUCAUUAGGUAUAUUAUCUGUUGAGUUUUUUUUUUAACAAAAAGAGAAUUAUGUGGCACGAAUCGUGACUACUGCACGACACAAGGGGCACCUUUACCAAAGAUAUGCUCAGGACAUUUGAAAGGAAUUAACUACUAGAUUCUGCUGAAGUUAUAUGGAUCUUGAGAAAUACGAGUUUAGUUCAAACUCUUUAUUUCAAUCUUCCUCAGUCUGUCAUCUCUUCUGCUGGAUCCCUCCCAUACAAUCAAUUUCUCCCAAACAACACAUGAAACUCCUCAAACUCUAGCUCAAGCACCAUUUCAUAACCCCAUAAGCCUGUUCAAUACUCUGCCAUGGUGGUCUGAUCAAAAUAGCAUCCUGAAGGGCCACCAUUGGGCAACAGAGCAAGCAUAACCGGACCUUUAGCCCCUUCUUCAGUAGCGAGGACCCCAGUAUUCCAAUUGAUGUCAGUCUUGACAUAGCCCGGGUGCACACAGUUGAUGCACAUAUCUGGAUACCUCUUUGCAAGAACCCUUGUGUAGGCAUUGAGCACAGUUUUUGAUACACUAUAUGAAGGUAACAUCAUUGGCCAUCCACCAGCUUCAAGCGUUCCAUUCUUGAGGUCCUCCAGGAAUCCAUCCAGCAACUUCUCUAUCUUCUCUUCAUUCAAGUUAUCGAUGUCAUUCAGCUGGUUUCUGAUACUUUCAUUGGGCAUCCUCUGAUGGCAACCCAAACAACAAAACCGAACUUACAUGUUAAUAAGCUGCUUGUGUUACUUUUAAAUCUUAAGGUAUAAAACUUUUACCUUGAGUUCUGAUCUCAGAGAGGAAACGUUGACAAUCCUUGCACCUGAGGUCGAGCGCAUCAGGACAGGCAGUAGUGCUUCUGUCACUCUUUUGACGCCAUAGUAAUUGGUGUCUAGGCAUGUUAUGGCGUCUUCAUUGUCCUGACGGAUCACAGCUUGAACUAUGUUGGUAGCCUUGCCAGAAAGCUGCAUUGCUAGGAAGACUGUGUUAUUGGUCUUAUCAAAUCAAUUUUAAUACUCACUCAGUAAUUUUUCGUUUAUUUUUAUCUUGUUAUGAUGUCUAUCGAAAGGCUCUUUAUUUAGAUGCAAGAGAGCAUUGACUUGUUUAAGUCAUUGGAUUGACCAUAUAAUUGAGUGAACAAAUAUCUGGAGCUCUGAUGAUUAUAUAAAUCAAGAUCCACUGAACCGGUACCGGGACCUAUACCAGUCGGCGGCUGGUUUCGAAUGGUACCGUACCAACACACGCCAUGUAGAGGCAUGCCGGUUCCGAACCGGUAUGCCAUUUUUUUUUAAUGUUUUUUAGUUUGAUUUAUUGAUAAUCAAUUUUGUUCAACUUUUUCAAUAAUUUUAAGUAUUAUUUGAUGUAUCUAUGAUCCGGAUACAAUCUAAAUGAUGCAUUUUGAUAUUUUAGAGUGAUGCAAAACAUAAAAUGAUUAGUGAGAGGUUGCAUGCUACAAGAAGCAAUAUAAAAUAUCCUAACAUCAAUUAGUGAAUUAUAAAAUAUAAAAUGAUACAAUCAAUUACAUAUAUUUAAAGUAUAAUAUGCAUACGGAUAUCUAAAAUUUUGUCGAGUAGCGGUGCUUCUUGUAGAUAUCCGGAUCAUUAGUAUAAUCAGGAGGCACAUCAGCCCGCCCCUUUAACCAAGUGGCGUUGUAAUCCUGUACGCUCAUCCCAUAAGAAAUACACUCUGAGGAAUAACCACUCUUAAAUCUCUCACUAAAGCUCUGGCUCUAAAAGGUAUCCUCUGACUAAUAGUAUGGCUAUGGAGGGGCCUCUUCGACUAUGACGGCAGCAAAAUCCGACCUAUAAGAUACUCUGCGCUGUAUAGGAUAGUAGCCACCAGAAGACGAUGCCUCAAACACACCAUAUCCAUUUCGUAUCUGUAUGAGUUAUAAGCUGCCUGUGGCUGCGAGUAAUAGAAUUCAGUAUACAACUCGAAACAUAAUACAUUUAUGGAUCCUACUCUAUAUGCGAAGUUAUAUGCAGCUGCAUCGUGUUCUCCUGAAUAAUCUCGAAGAACCCGUCUAGUAUAUGCAUUCGUAUCCUUGCAAGCUCUACUAGAUCGUGCACCAUGGUCCCUAUCUUAUGUAGCAUAUAUAAACUAGAACUCACUGAUGAAUCGAAGACCACCCUGUGGCUAUCUCAUAAAUGGUGGUCUCAUGUCCUCCACUCCCUAGGACCACUGGAACUAUCCUCGUUGCUCUUUAUAGUCUCUAAAUUUGAGUGAACUAAUUGCACACUCUUCAUCACGGCUGCAACUAUGUUUUCUUUUUUUUUUUACUGCACUGAGCAGCUACCUACUUAUCCUUCAUGCCCCUCUUUGCCUGGCUAUGCUGGAAGAAUCGAUGUCGCCCUCCUAAUUAAGCCAACCGGAUAGCGUAGUAGCCUCAUCUAAGCAACUUUCGAUCUUAUUUCUAGAAGGAUGUCUCGGACAAGAAGUCAUGUGAUCACCGGCUUCCUAGUGACCCCUGUGGUUGUGGCUGAUCAGCUACAAGGAUGCGUGAAAUAUUACAAUAUGCCCAUUGCCCUGAAUCUACUCUAACCUUGCUGGCUACAAAACUAUCUGGUCGUAGAGGCGAUCCUGGUUAAUCAAGCUCUGGCUCCUGCGGCUGGUCCACAAGCCAUCCAAUUAUAAGAUCAUCCUUAUCGUCAACAAACGCGUUGUGGAUCGAAUUUGUGUACUUCAGCUUCACUUCUGAAUGUACUUCAGCCUCAAUCUCAGAUUAUAAUGAAUUUAUUUAGGUCAUUGAGAUGCUUUUAUAUCAGACGGUUCCUCUGCUUGCUAUGGAUGAGGAUGAAGGUGGAUAAGUUGCGCUCUCAACCACUCGAGAAGAUCGUCUGAGAGAGGAUCUGGAUAGCUAGCUACCUAAAAUUUCUUGCGAAUGAACCAAAUGGAUCCACCAUUCAGCAGAAAAAAAUAUUGAAGAAAAUUACAUCUAAGUAACCAUCUAAUGUUAGGUAAUAGUUAUUGUUGAUAUGUAAUAUAUCUAGAUUCAUACUUUUUUUUACUUAUGAUAGAUGCCGAGAUUCCAAAGCUAUCAUUUUCCUCACUCAAUAUUUUAGGCUUGUGAAAAGAACCGUGCUGUAAUAUGUCAAUCAUUGAAGAUACGAGUUAACUUAUACAUGUCACUUGAGUUAACUUAUGCAUGUCACUUAAGUUAACUUACUUCUUUUAAACAUAAAGUCACGACUUUUGGAUCAGGAUCUAUCUUGUAAAUCACAUUACGCAAAGCGGCUAGAAGUUUGUCGUCUAUAUCGAUUUCAGGUAUGAUAUACUAAAAUCUUGGAUUCAGGUAGUAAGCUGCAGAUAGAGUUCGUAAUUAUUUUAGUAAAAUUAUUUAAAUACAAAAGCAAGCUAAUUUUCAAUGUUCUUGCUUACUUGCUAGAUGCAAGCCUCUACCCAUUUAGUAAUCCCAUCACCGCUCAAUGAUGUACUCCUAGCAUGCAUUGAAUUUGCCUCUAAUUUGAUUCUUUGCCCUCUUCAUCAUAUAAUACAAGAAGCCCAUCUAGGGGUAUCUCUUGUUGUCCACGACUUGAAGCACUUCGUACAAUGGCUUGAUAGAUUUUACUAUUUUCUCAGCCCGCUGCCAGAAUAUCUGUCUCGUCACUAAGUCCUCAACAAUGCUCCCCUCAAUGUCGGCCCUCCAUAAAUCUUCUUUUCUUCCACUGGGCACUGACAAACAUUUGACGUAGGGCAGCUUCCUCCUCAAAGAGGCUAUCAAAUGUAACAUAGUAGCAAAAUGUGCCACACCUAGUCUCAAGAUCUCUUUCCCUAUCUCCUCAUCAGUGAUAGGAACCAUGCAUCGUUAUAAAUAUAUUUGGAAAUAGUUUGGGCUGUCUCCACUAUCUGUUGCAUCAUACGAAUCUUCGCAAUAUCCAUCAACAUAAGGUCGAUACAAUAUAUGCACAUGGGGUCCAGAAAAUGUAGUUGCCGCUCCAUCAAGAUCUCCCUGGCGGCCUUAUAUUGUGGCUCAUUAUUAGGGAUGAUCUGCAGGAUAUUUUUUUCCAAUCUGAUCAACCACCUCCUCUAUCAAUCUGAGGAUGUACAUGACAUCGUGUAUCUAAUUGAAAGCAUCAACCAAUUUCUGANNNNNNNNNNNNNNNNNNNNAAUGUCUCUCAUCUUCUUCCCCGCACAUUACUCACAGCACUAGGCUUUAAUUAAAUAACUUGCUAUAGUUUUUAAUUAAUCAUCCACAAAGUUUUAAUUAGCCAAAUUAUUUUAAAAACCCAAUUCACCCCCCCUCUUGGGUUGUCUAUCUGGGCAACAGUUAAGAAGAUGAUGCUUUACUUGGUAGGACUGGUCCAACUAUCACACAACACCAUCAGUCCAUAUGUGGGCCACUUGCUCUUGUAUGGAGCAAUCCACUUCUCUAGCUCUUUAUUAUUGUCAAAAAGCUCACCAUAGAUGUCUUUCAAUCCUGGAGGAUCUACACCAUAACCAGUAGCCUAUAUGGAGAAAAUGACAGAUCUAUAGUACGUGUUAUCUGCCACAUUUGCUGGGAUAUGGCUGAAGAGAAAUCAGGAUCCAAUAGCUCGCCACAUUCUUUUUUUAUCCUUCUUUAGCAUGGUGUCAACUUUUUGCUACUUCGAAUCCUUGCUAGAAAAGGCAUGUUGAUCUAAUUCAUAGAUGAUGGCUCUUGAUGGAAUCCUUCUAGAGGACUUCUUUCUACUAUCAAAAGCUUCCAGCAUGAAUUCAAUAUGGCCAUCGCCUCCAUUGAUAGCCUCUCUAACUGAGAAAGUCCUCAUGAACUCUAGAUCUGCCCUACUGAUCAUAGAACCGAAAACCAACUCGUAGUGUGAAGGUCUAAAUCGAGCUCUAUGCCUAGCUACCUCAUCCUGCUGCCACUAAUCAUUUAGGCUUGUCCAAAUGAAACUUGAAUUUGUACCUCCUCAUCAUCUGAAGCAGACGCUUUUGACUUCCUAAAGUGAUAGAAAGGUGAUUCUACCGCCUGGCGGUCCACGUCUGCCUUCUUCUUGGAAACCCUCUUCUUCACUACUUUGAAAUCAGCAAAGUGAUUCUUCAUCACCUGUCGGACCUUCUUGUGGACAUUUCUGACAUAUAGAUACAUCGAGAUAACCACCAGCUAUGUAUUGUUUCAACCUGGUUACUCCUCUCUAUAAUUCUAUGUUGCACUACUUGCACCUCCAAUUGUGCCGACCUGAGAUCCAUGAUCCCAACCAAUAUCAUGCUAUGAAUCCUUUUUCCUCAAUGGUUCUAUUCCUACAGAUUUAUCAAAUAUGUCAGUUUAUUAAUUAUUUAAAAAUAGCAAAAUCUCAUUACAAUGAAAAAAAUAUUUUUCUACUUUAAAUAAUACAUCUGAUUUAUCUUAUACAUAGUACUAAUUUUUCAUAUUUUUAAAUUUAUUUCUAUAAUUUCAAUAAUUUAAAUUUUAAAAUAUAUUUAAAUAUCAUAAAUUCAAAAAAAUAUAUUUUCUAUUUCAGAAAAUACUUCUGAAUAUGUAUUACGUAGUAGUAAUUUUUCAUAAUUUUUAUAUUAAUUAUAUAUUUUUAAUCAUUUUUAAAAAUAAAAAAUAAUUUUUAAAUACAAAUAUUUUAGAAAAUUAAUUUGAGCUUAGAUUCAUGUAGAAUCCCACCAUGGAUGAUACAUAUUUUUUUCUAAGCCCAUGGGCAUGCAUCAAAGGCUAAUAUUUCUCAAUUUUUUAAAAAAUUUAGGCCUAAGCCACUAUGCUCAUAAUUGCGUAAAAACUUGAAUAAAUGGAUACCAAAUUUAGUUGGAGAGUAGCUUCAUGCCCCUAAAUAAGCUUCUGAUUUUACAGUCUUUUUUAAGUUUUAUUUUAUUAUUUUUAAUUUUUAAUCUAAAAAUAUAUUUUUAAUUUAAAAAAUUAUAUAUAAUCCGAAAAUAAAAAAUUUUUGUGGAUUGUGUGGAUCAUUCAUAGAUCUCCAACAUAUCAUAAAGUCAUGCCAAAAUCAAAAAUUUUGGCAUAAUCUCUGUUUAUUUUGGAAAUUUUGAGGUAUUUUUUAGUGUUGAAAAAAAAAGAAAAUAAGGUAAAGAGAAGCAUACCUUAUUUUGGGUUGGAUCCUCCUUGAAUUAUCAUGAAUCGUCACAUUUUUUGGCCAAGGAGGGUUUGAAGAAAACUUAAACGAAUGCUUGAGAAGGCUUGAGAGCCUUAUGAGGCCUUCCAACGCUUAAAAAGAGAGGAAAGGAGGGAGGACCGGUUUGGACCGGUUCAGGAUUGCCUCGAAUCCGACUGGUUCGGAACCGACCGGCUCGGGGUCGGUUCCGAUCCGACCGGCUCGGGGUCGGUUCCGAUCCGACCGGUUCGGGGUCGGCUCCGACUCCCACAGCCAGACCAACCCAGUCUCGCGCUGGGUCAGCUCGGUACGGCCCGAACCGAUGGUUCGGCUUCGGUCCGACAGACCAUAAUAUGAACUAAAUUUAUGCAAGUUGCUAGCCAUUUGCAUUCUGGAGAUUUUUCGAAGUAUUCUACUUUUCAGAGUCUAGAGGGUACUUGGAGCUUUGAUAUUCCCAACAUCAUUUUUCUAACAGAUACUUUAUUAACUUUUAAAUGUUAGUUAUUCAAUAAAUAUGUUUGUUAUUGUAUCACAGCUGAUCUUAACAUGAUAGUAACAAAUUGCUUGAUGCCAAAGGAGUUACCCAAGAUUCAGGAUCAAUAUUAAGAGCUUUCAGGCCUUCAACAUCUACCACAACUCCUGAGGCUCCUGCGUUAUUUACCUGUAUCCACAGUAUGACUCUAAUGAGUGAUGAAGAGAAAAUAAGAUAGCAGAAGUGUUCUAAGUCUUCAGGUUUUUUUUUUUUACCUAAGAUAUCGAGCUUUCCAAAUUGAUUUUGGAUGAAAUGGGCUAAGGAUGCAACACUAGCAGGAUCUCGAACAUCAAGUUGAUGGAAGACCACAUUGGAGAAGCCGACUUGGUGGAGGGAUUCAACAGCAUCUGUCCCCCUCUUCUCAUCUCUUGCAGUUAGGAUGACAGUUACGCCAUGGCUUGCAAGCUGCCGAGCAGUCUCAAGGCCAAUCCCUUUGUUGGCUCCAGUAACCACUGCAAGCCUGUGCAAAGACAUAAAGCAAGUAAAUAUUUUGGUGCAGAUGAGAAUAAAAAUUUGCCAAUAAAGGACCACAUACCGGUCUGGAUUUGGCCGCUCGUUGCUUCCCAUUGCCUGCUGUCUAGCCAAAGAAGAGCAGGCUUCAGUUAUCUAUCAGCAUAUGAAACCUGGCCACUCAUCAAUAUUUAGAUGCAUGGGAAUCUUGUAUUGAUUUUAUUUUCUGGAUUCUUUUGGUACGAAGUCAUUGUCCCCAUUAUUGUCACUCUCAUCAAUUAAUAUUGUUGCUGUUGUUGUUGUUACUACUAGAUAUAUAGGGCCGUCCUUUCUGUAAUUUCGAUAGAGGAAUUCCAGCUACCAACACAACGUAGUCAACUCCAUUCGUUAGAACAGCUUCCAUUGAGUCUCUGCACCUAUCCUUUUUUUAUUCUAGUUUUAUAAACCCUUGUUUUCUCAAAAUAAAGAUUUGGCUCAGGAUUGCCCAUUUUUAAUUCCAGGGUUUCUCUGAAUUUGGAAGUUACCACUUAGUAGGUUUCCAUACCAAGGCUCAAUCCAAUCAAGUCCGUAGCGUCUACCAAUUUCGCCAUAUCCCCUUUUGAUUUGAGACCAAGAUCCAGUUGGAAUUCCACCCAUCUCUUUCAUUUAUUUUGGAGUAAUGCAGAAAUUUCACUCAAAAAAAGUUAAAAAGGAUGAUGUACAUUGCUUUAUGUUAGUCAUGUAGAGGAUGCAUAAUUAUGGAGCAACAGAAAAGUGCUACAAUAUCUAUGGAACUUUUUCCUAUCAAUGAUCUGUAUCAUUCAACAUCUACUAUAAUAAUAGUUUUUAUAUGAAAUUCAUGUCUAUGCUCCCUAUAAGCUAAAAAAAGGACAAUUUAUUAUCUACCAAAAUUUAUUUUUAAGUUCCAAGACUAGGUGCAUAGGCAAUUUUUGGACCCAUGAAGGUCUGCAGAAACUUGAAACCCAUUAAAUAAGCUAAUAGGCUUCGUUGUACUAGGAUUUUAGUCAAAAAUGAACAAUGAUUUUUAAGGGGAAAAGCUUGAAAAAUCUAUUAAAUAAGCAAAUAGGCUUCUUGUUGUACUAGGAUUUAGUCUAAAAUGGACGAUGAUUUUGAAGGGGGAAGGCUUGACAAAUAGAAUAAACCUGGGAUCAAAUUAUUAAAAGAGGAACAGAGGAGUUUUGCAUAGGAAUAUCCUUCUCUAGCAUAAUAGUGAGGUUACUGCCUGGUCCAAAUAGACGUUAAGACAUGGUGACACAAGCAAGAGGACCUCCAGGAAUAUAUCUUUGGCUUAUUCCUUUGAUACUUUUACACUUGUGACUUGCAAACCAAUGGUCGCUACUUGCUGUCAAGCAGGUUAGCUAGUAAAAAAUUGGCAUAAAAAACUCAGGGAUCUGAAACCUUCCCAAUUUGAUUUCUCUUUCACACUCUAAAACCCAGUGGUCAACUCAAGGAGGGCACACCCAUCUAACUAGGCCAUCACCAGCAAUCUUCAUUUUGCUUGUUGAUAAUUAUGAGCUUAUGAGAGAGUAGCAUUAUGAGAAGAAAAAAAAACAGUUGAAUCAAUUUUAUGUAACUGCAAAAGGUCCCAAGUUUUUGUUCAUUUAAAAUGAAGGGCUAAAUGUCAGACUUGUCGCUCAGAAAGAGUGGCAACAAUAGUUUUCCAAAAUUUAUCAUUGUCAUAAGUCUUCUUUUUAAGAAAACAAGCAAAAUAGAUCUAUCUACUCAAGAUGCCAGCUAGAAACCUAGACAGAGGGAGAGCAGCGAAUGAAUGUCCAUGCUAAUCUUGAUAUGGUAAUUCAAUUUGUUGAAUAUCUUAUAUAUAAUAUUAUAUAUAUAUA
rnacentral:lncRNA from 1 species